GGGACGGGACAAGGAGUGAUAAGCAAAGGAGAAAAUUAAACAUGAAACAUAACAUUAAACAUUAAACAUAAAAGGUUGUCAUGACAGAUUAUCCCCUCGUCUCUCAAUGAUUUCCUAAUACCUAGGUAUGGAGUGAUUAUAAGAAUAAUACAAAGA